UCCAGACUCCUACGGGAGGCAGCAGUGGGGAAUAUUGCACAAUGGGGGGAACCCUGAUGCAGCGACGCCGCGUGAGUGAAGAAGUAUUUCGGUAUGUAAAGCUCUAUCAGCAGGGAAGAUAAUGACGGUACCUGACUAAGAAGCCCCGGCUAACUACGUGCCAGCAGCCGCGGUAAUACGUAGGGGGCAAGCGUUAUCCGGAUUUACUGGGUGUAAAGGGUGCGUAGGUGGCAGGGCAAGUCAGAUGUGAAAGCCCGGGGCCCAACCCCGGUACUGCAUUUGAAACUGUCCGGCUGGAGUGCAGGAGAGGUAAGCGGAAUUCCUAGUGUAGCGGUGAAAUGCGUAGAUAUUAGGAGGAACACCAGUGGCGAAGGCGGCUUACUGGACUGUAACUGACACUGAGGCACGAAAGCGUGGGGAGCAAACAGGAUUAGAUACCCCUGUA
rnacentral:rRNA from 1 species